UACGAAGGGUGCAAGCGUUGUCCGGAAUUAUUGGGCGUAAAGCGCGCGCAGGCGGUUAAUUAAGUCAGAUGUGAAAGGCUACGGCUCAACCGUAGAGUUGCAUUUGAAACUGGUUAACUUGAGUGCAGGAGAGGUAAGUGGAAUUCCCGGUGUAGCGGUGGAAUGCGUAGAGAUCGGGAGGAACACCAGUGGCGAAGGCGACUUACUGGCCUGCAACUGACGCUGAGGCGCGAAAGCGUGGGGAGCGAACAGG
rnacentral:rRNA from 1 species